CAGUAAUUCUUCUGAGCGCAUGCUUGAGCGUAUUCUGCUUUACAACUCACAUUUUGUUCGUGGCUGGCUGUGUCUUCUAAAACAGAUCACACUGUUCUGGGGCACAGUGAGUCAUUCCACGUUCUUUUCUUCCCUGGUUCCACUCUGCACUUGUUCCUAAUCAACUUCCUCUUAUCUCUAACCAUUUUGCCAGUGUUUCUGUCUAAGCACUUCUGUCUCCACUGAGGUCAGAAAAAAGGGAAAUAGACUGAAAUCAACAUCGCAUCCACAAGGGUUUAUGAAGUAUCCUGCAUGUGUGGAGCAUCAUUACAGAUUUCUGUGAAUAGACCAGAAGCCGACCUUUACAGUGUGUUUGGGUGCAGGUGAGGCUGAUUUGAGGCAAAUGUGCUUUACAGAUCUACAAUCUUAUACCUCACUCUGGCUGAAGCACCAGUCCCCAAGUGCAGACUUCUUGCCUGUUUCCCGUGUAACACUGUCCAACUCUGAAGGCUCCUACCCUGACCUUGGCCCUUGCUAUUUUCUUCAGUGGUUCUGAUGAUGGAAGAAUCAGAAGUGCCUGGUGUAUACUGGAAAUAGGGUGGGUGGGGGGGGGGUGGCGUGUAUAUUUUCGGGGAGUAUUUUUCCUUUUUAUCAUCUCUAUUCUAACUGUUUUCUCUGGGCACAGCUUUGCUCUAAUUAUAGCAAAGGCUAAACAAGGUGAACUUCAGUCUAGGAAUUUUUAGUUCUAUAAUUUUAUGAGAGAGAAGACUUUUUCAAAUAAUUUCCUUGCUUAUUGGUUACUUUUUAACCUGCUUUGUGGGAUCCAUGCAGUUAAUUGAUUAAUCAUCUAAUUAUUACUGGCAUGGUUAUGGAUGUUACUUACAAUCUCAAGGCUUAUUUUCCUGCAAGUGGGCAUAAAAACACAAAUUAUAGGUUUGUUCUGAGUAUUAAAUGAGAUUAUGGCCAGUGCCUAGAACAUAUAUUUGAUGAAAAAAUCAAUUCAGUUCUAUUGACACCAGCAUUGAGAUAUGCUAAAUUCAAUGGUAAUUCUGAGUUUCAGAGUUCUGAGAAUGGCUUGAAUAAGUUUAUACUAACUUACAGUAGCAACAAUUGUUGAAUGCUUACUAUGUAGAAGGCAUAGUAAGGCGUAUGUUAAAUGUGUUGUAUUAACUUAUUUAGUUCUCACUACAGCAUCAGGAGGUAGGUUCCAUCGUCUAUAUUGUUUAGCUUGGAUAGAAAUAACUUGCUUAGGGAUAGCCUGUUAGGUCUGUCUGAUCCUGAGGUGUGUACUCCAAACUAUAUUAUACUGCCUUCCUGUGACCAUUUUCUAAAUACAAGUAUCAUAUUUUGAAAGUAAGAUACAUAAAAUUGAGCAGUUGUUCUGUGAUUACUGUGAGGUAGACUGUGAGUUGGGAAAUGUUACAUUUGGAGUGGAAAACAUUAUAAUUAUGGAUUCAGAAUUCCAUGAUCAGGGAUGGCUGGGGACAACUUCUAUUCUAGAACAUGGGUUGGGAACAUGGACUCUGGACUCAUAUUUUCUGUGUUUGCAUCUCAGCUCUGCCACUUUGUAGCUCUGUGACCUAGGACUAACUCAACUUCCUGAGUCUCAAUUUUCUUGUCUAUAAAAUGAUGAAAAUGCUGCCCAUCUCAUAGAGUUAUGAGGAUUAAAUGAGCGAAUACAUGUAGAUUCCUUAGAAUAGUGGCUGACACUUGGUAAGUGUCAUUAGAUAUCAUUAGCAUUUCUAUAUCUUUCACUUUAUAUGUCUCUUCUGGCUGUCUUCAUGUGUGCAUAGUUGUACUCUUGCUAAGAAAUGCAUAGAUUUACUUAAGGAUGUUGUGAAGCUUGUCCACAGAAUUAUAAUGUGGUUUUGGAGUCUUUAGUAUAUUAUAAUAGAGGGAAAAGUUAUUACUGUCAAUUUUUUCCACCUUCAAAAACAAUUAUUGCUUAAGAAUUACUGGGAUUAAUUAUCUUUUAAAUGUUUAAAUCUGAAUUCAUAUUUAUAAAAUUAAUACCUGUUCAAAAUCAAUAUUAGUAGAAGCCAAAUAUAUUGAGUGACUUAGUUGGCCUUAUCUUUAGUCAUAAUUUCAGAUUGGAAGUGAAAGCGAAUUUAAAAGAUGUGGUUGUGUAGAACCAUCUCUUUUAUUCUUUUUAUACAUGCAUGUGAGUGAGGUAAGUGGUUAGACAUAUUCUUAGUCUUUUUGCCCAGCUCAAGGAAGAGUUAAUAAAAUUACGUUAUGUAAAGUGCAUUGAACUCCUCAAGAGAGAAGUGUUACAUUAAUACCUGCCUCACAGUGAUGUUCUCAGACUUAAUGUUUGUAAAUUGCCUUGGUACUCCCAGUAACAUCCUGAUGAAGCAUCAUUUUGUUUUAUUGCAAGGAGCUCUAAGUUACACAGAAUACAAGUUAAGGGGGAAAUAAUAUCCCAGUCUUUAUUUUACAAUCAGAAGUACAUAAAAUAGAGAGAAAACAUUUUGUUCCAGUUGUGAAUGGUAAAAUUGAUCAUUUAUUUUUUUCUCUCUGUUACUUUGGGGAUGACGUAGAGUUUAUAAUGUAGUUUAAUUGAGCACUCAAGGUUAAAGUAUUUAAUGGCAGAAUUGGUGAUCAUGAUACAAAGAGAUCUUUAAGGACACUGGUAUUCAAAUUUUUAAAGUUAAAUUCCAAUUUUAAGAGUCAGUUUUUUAUAUGAUUACUAUUAAGUUUGGCAUUUUUGAGACAUGUCUUAAAUCGAUAUCUGUAAUACUUACAAACAUCAGUAGAGAGAAUCAUAUUGUAAACACAUAUUCUUGCUGUAGGGUACAUUUUAAAUGUCUAAACACUAAUCAAUAUAGCAAAAUUAAGUAUUGACUAAAAUAGCUUUAUAAUAAGUAAUUAUUGGUUUGCUCUUUUAGAAAUUAGACAUUUUCACUUUGGGAAUAAAGAGUAAAUUUACUGUCAUGAAAUUAAAGUGUUUUUGACCUUUUUGUACAACUUUCCUCUGUCUAUGAAAUGAUUAGGUUUAAAUAUGAUUGCACAGCUGUAUUAUGUUGCAAGCAUCAAUUUUUAAUUAUUAUAAGGUCAAUGUUAGAACAAAUGUGAUUAGAACAGUACCUCUGUGCAGUUAUUUACUUUCUACUCAGAAACCACUCUGUGUUUACUAAAACUAACCCAAACCUCUCUCGGUUGAUAUGGCUAAUUAGAUUCUUGCCAAAUAUUUUAUUUUCCUCAGUGUUCAUUCUAUGUAUGUUAUUUUGUUGAUUCGUUCAGUUUUUUAAAAUACGAAUUUCGUGAUUUAUUUCUUCCCUUCAUAGGGGGACAUUUAUUUUUCUAUGUGUCUGUGUGUACAUAUCUCUCUGUGUGUAUAACCACAGAUAACAAUAGCUUCACAAUCCUCCUGCCUUGUAUAGCACAAAUAUUUCUUCCCCACAAUAUUAUUGAGAACUGAUUUGUAUAAAGCACAUCUAAAGAGAAAAGGAGUUUCCUUGCCAAGCCUAGAUUUUUAUGAUUCUAUAGUCACAGAGAUUUGCUGCUCUUCCUGAUUUUCUCCUGCCACUCUAUGUGACUUUGGAUUUGGCCUUCAAAUUAAAAGUUUCCUGCUAUAUAAAAAAUGACAAAAUAAUACAUGAUCUACACAUUAUUCAUGAAAAUUCCCAAGAUUUUCAGCAUUAAUAGUAAUUC
rnacentral:lncRNA from 1 species